rnacentral:rRNA from 1 species
GAUGGACUGCCUUUUGCAUAAUGAGCCUGCGAGUUGUGGUGUCUGGCAAGGUUAAGCAAACGCGAAGCCGUAGCGAAAGCGAGUCUGAAUAGGGCGCUUAGUCAGAUGCUGCAGACCCGAAACGAAGUGAUCUAUCCAUGAGCAAGUUGAAGCUAGUGUAAGAACUAGUGGAGGACUGAACCCAUAGGCGUUGAAAAGCCCCGGGAUGACUUGUGGAUAGGGGUGAAAGGCCAAUCAAACUUCGUGAUAGCUGGUUCUCUCCGAAAUAUAUUUAGGUAUAGCGUUGUGUCGUAAUAUAAGGGGGUAGAGCACUGAAUGGGCUAGGGCAUACACCAAUGUACCAAACCCUAUCAAACUCCGAAUACCUUAUAUGUAAUCACAGCAGUCAGGCGGCGAGUGAUAAAAUCCGUCGUCAAGAGGGAAACAACCCAGACUACCAGCUAAGGUCCCUAAAUCUUACUUAAGUGGAAAACGAUGUGAAGUUACUUAAACAACCAGGAGGUUGGCUUAGAAGCAGCCAUCCUUUAAAGAAAGCGUAAUAGCUCACUGGUCUAGUGAUUUUGCGCGGAAAAUAUAACGGGGCUAAAGUAAGUACCGAAGCUGUAGACUUGCGCACAACUUAGAUUAUUUAAGUUUAGAAUAUGAGAAACUAAGUUAUAUUUUUACUGAUUUUUAUAGAGUAAAGAUAGAAAUAAAACUUAGUAAAAUCAGUAAAAAUAUUCUUAGGCUAAAGUUAAGUAGUUUAAGUUGUGUGCAAGUGGUAGGAGAGCGUUCUAUUUGCGUCGAAGGUAUACCGGUAAGGAGUGCUGGAGCGAAUAGAAGUGAGCAUGCAGGCAUGAGUAGCGAUAAUUAAUGUGAGAAUCAUUAACGCCGUAAACCCAAGGUUUCCUACGCGAUGCUCGUCAUCGUAGGGUUAGUCGGGUCCUAAGUCGAGUCCGAAAGGGGUAGACGAUGGCAAAUUGG